AACAAAAGAUGAUGAACAACAAGGGACUUAAUACUGAUGCAUGUGAUGUCACCUUUGUUAAAUUCUGAUUGU